rnacentral:rRNA from 1 species
AGAGUUUGAUCCUGGCUCAGAAUGAACGCUGGCGGCGUGCCUAACACAUGCAAGUCGAACGAGAAAUUCCGGCUUCGGCUGGGAAAGUAAAGUGGCGCACGGGUGAGUAGCGCGUGGGUAACCUGCCUUUGAAUCGGGGAUAACUUCGCGAAAGCGUUGCUAAUACCGGAUAUUGUCCUUUAGGCUGUGGCCUUUGGGACGAAAGGUGACCUCUUCAUGAAAGUUGCCGUUCUUAGAGGGGCCCGCGUACCAUUAGCUAGUUGGUAGGGUAAUGGCCUACCAAGGCUACGAUGGUUAGCUGGUCUGAGAGGAUGAUCAGCCACACUGGAACUGAAACACGGUCCAGACUCCUACGGGAGGCAGCAGUGAGGAAUUUUGCGCAAUGGGGGAAACCCUGACGCAGCGACGCCGCGUGAGUGAAGAAGGCCUUCGGGUCGUAAAGCUCUGUCAAGUGGGAAAAAAGUCUGUUAGUUAAUAGCUAACAGGUCUGAUGGUACUACUAAAGGAAGCACCGGCUAACUCCGUGCCAGCAGCCGCGGUAAUACGGAGGGUGCUAGCGUUGUUCGGAAUUACUGGGCGUAAAGGGCGUGUAGGCGGUUUGGUAAGUCAGAUGUGAAAGCCCUGGGCUCAACCCAGGAAGUGCAUUUGAUACUGCCUUACUUGAGUAUGGGAGAGGAGAGUGGAAUUCCCAGUGUAGAGGUGAAAUUCGUAGAUAUUGGGAGGAACACCCGUGGCGAAGGCGACUCUCUGGACCAAUACUGACGCUGAGACGCGAAAGCGUGGGGAGCAAACAGGAUUAGAUACCCUGGUAGUCCACGCCGUAAACGAUGAGAACUAGGUGUAGCGGGUAUUGACCCCUGCUGUGCCGAAGUUAACACAUUAAGUUCUCCGCCUGGGGAGUACGGCCGCAAGGCUAAAACUCAAAUGAAUUGACGG